CAGGCCUUGUCCCCAGUGCCUGGGCAGCUCUCCUGGAGCCCCUGCAGGCCCUGGCAGGGGCUCUCAGGUGUCCCUGCAGCCUUCUCUUGUGCAGGAGAGCAGCCCCAGCUGUGCCAGGCUGGCUCCAGAGCAGAGGGGCUCCAGCCCUAUUGCAAUUUCCCCUGUGUUUGCUGGGAUUUUUUUCCCUGGAGUGCAUCGGGCCCAGUUCCCAGCUGUAUUUCACAGAGAGCUGCCAUGAUCCAAAGACCCUCACACAUCCAGGACAGGUUUCCAGGAAAACAAGUGAGUUCCAGAGAUGCAACAAUGGAAACAAUAACCCAGUUCUGGAAUUGGCAGAUGGACAAGGGCUUGUGUCCAGAGGCAGGGAGGAGCUGUGAGGGGCUGAUGCCACCCAGCCGGCCUGCCAUUGCUCGGGGAGGAUGGGGAUUGUUUGCUCUGGUCGCUCUCCAGUGUCAUCCCCAUGACUCAGAGUCCCACAAUUUCCCAAUGCAAACUGCAAGGUGUUAGCAAACAGUGGGAACAGAAGGAACUCUUCGCUGCUGUUGUGAAAGCGACUUCUGCAGCCAAGAAUUAAUUAGCAGCACUGCCUUAGUACGCUGGGGUCCUACCAGUUCAAGUCAUUGUAUGCACACAAAGCCAAGAAGAUUUGCACAGCCUAAAACAAUUUUUUUGAAAGGAAGUCACUACUAAGCAAUAUUACUGGUUGAAAAAUCAGCUAAUUAUACCAGCAAAAAUAAACACUGAAGGAGAGACCAGCUCUCCAGUUUCACCAUAUAUAAAACAAGCAGUGCUCGUGGUUUGGAAGAAGAUGCUUUCAUAUGGAAUUUGACAUUUUGUUUUAGCUGCUGAAGAGCUUUCUGUCUGACUGCCCUCCACCAUGCUGGGUACCUGGACAGACAAGUGGCUCUUGAAUAGCUAAAAAACCCUAUUUCCUGCCUUUUGAAGAUAUGAAAGAGACUCAAAAGGAUUAUGAAAUCACUGUAGCAGAUAACCUUCAGACAGCAGCAUCAUCAAAAGGCAAGGAUAAACAACAAAAUUCAUCCAGCAUCUAACAGUGUAACGUCAGUAAGUCCCAACUGGAGAGGAGCAGCCUUCAGCAAAACCGGGGUCUACAAGGAGUAUUCUUGUCCAGAUGCUGCUCUGUCUGUGUCAUCCACAUCACUCCAUGACCCAGCUCUGGAUGAGUGGAGCUGAGCAAAGGACAGCCUGUGCUUGAGUUCCCAGAGGAUGAACCAUGUACCAGCAGGUAACAGCAAGCCAAAAAUUUGAGAUUAACAUUCUGAUGGCUCAUAUUUUGUCCGUCAUCACUGACAGAGGAUUUGCAGAAAGAUGUCUCACCUGUAGUGACAAAUGAACUCAUGCUUUGAAGAUAACAACUUCCCUUGAAUUGCUCUCAUUAUUCCAUGCCUUAGACUGCCAACACUGUAUGUACAUCUUCUU